AUCUGCAAAGCAGAGCCAGGAUUAGAGGUGAAGCUGAAAGAAGGGGCCCUCUUGCCAAGCUGCUCCCCGUCCCCUCAGCAGCAUCAGACCCCUGAGCCCUGGGCCACCCACUAAAACUCGUCACUUGAGGGCUUUGCUGCUGGGGUAAUGGGACAGCCAGGGGGUCCUGAAAAGAAGGGGGUCCUUUGGGUUCCCACAUGCCUGACACCCAACACCAGGAGUGGGCGUGGCUGGCGGGGCAUCACUGGGUGCCCUGAAGCUGGUCUCUUGGCUCUGGCCCAUGGUGUGUCCCCCAGGGCAGGGGAACAGCUGAGCUGUUGGAAUGGAACAGAAACCAAAGGCCAAAGUUUUUUUUAUAACUCAUUCAAGGUCACCAAGGAAGCCAGAAAAGAGCCAGCACAAGACCCUGAGGCUGGGAAGUCCAGGCCUGCACUGCCUGCUUGCCACUUAGAGCAGAGGCAACAGCCUGUGUCACCCCUAGACCAGGCCCCAGGACCCAGCACUGGUCCCGUCUCUAUGUGACUUUUCACCCACAGCAAGGUGCCCUUGGCCCUACCCACACAUGGCUGACCUCUAUGCCAGGACCGUCCAGAGUUGGCUCUUUCUAGGCCCAGGUAGACUCCAUCAGCCUCCACCAGUAAUUGUUGACCCAGCUUCUCUAAGGACUGCACACCCAGGUGGUCUGCACACCCAGGGCCACUGCUGAUCAGGCCACCUCCCCCAAGGCCUUCCACCUUCCAGACCCAACUUAGCCUUUCUUCCACAACCUGGACGGCUUUCCGGGCUUCCCAGGCUCUGGCCGGUCCUGCUCCUCCCUCCAGAGCCAUGACCAGUCCCCAGGCCCAGAACAGCCCGGGUGCAGCUGAGGACCCUCCCGGUGGUCACCUAAUCAUACUGGGGUACGUGCUGGACACCCCACCUCCGGAACCCAUUGCCCCUGUCCAGAGCAGCCCAGCCCCGGCGGGCUGGCAGCUCUGUCUGUGCAGACAACGGGAUGCAGCAGGCAGGAUGUGAGCCCCACCACCCGUGGGUCGGAGGCCAAGGGCUUAAGCCCCACGUCCUUUCUGGCUCGCUGAGGGCACUCCGUGUGCCCCACCUUCCCGGCAAUUCUGAGAGGUGGGGGCAGGGUUUAGGUGGAGAGAAGGGCAGGGCGCGGAAAGGGGAGUGGACUCGAGGGGUGUCCGGAGGAUGGGGACGGGAGAAGGCUAGGAAAGUAUUUACUACACAGCAACAGCAAUCAAGGAAUAGUGUGCUACUGGCAGAAGGAUCAACAUAAAUGGAAUAGAAGUGAAAGCCAAGAAGUAGAUCCACACAUCUAUGGUCAACUGAUGUUUGACGAGGGUGUCAAGACCAUUCAAAGGAUGACCCUCACCAGAUGUUGGUGCCAUGCUCUUGGACUUCUCAACCUCCAGAACCAUGAACCACAUAAAGUUCUGUUCUUUAUAAAUUA